GUACACAUAGGUCUCCAGCUAAUCCCGGGCUGUGUGUCAGCUGUACACGUGGGUGUGUUUACAGCUUGUGCCAGUCAGGCCCCCGGGUUCACGUGUUGCUCCGCGGCCCCGCCCGGCUGUGUGUGUCAGAUCGACGCAGCCAGACGCAGACUCAGCCGCAACCCCCGAGUCUCCACAACCCGCCCCGGCAGCCGCCUCGCCCGGAGCCGACCAUGGGCAAAAUUCUCCUCCUGUGCCUGGCCGCUCUGACCUGCGCCAGGCUGGCUGGCCACAAGACGAUUGUGCGGAAGAACUGUGUGGCCGAGGUGAAAUGCAGCACCCAGGACACGGCCACCUGGGCCGGCGUCACCUACACCACCUCCUACACCUGCUGUGAGGGCGAUUUCUGCAAUUAGGCCAGGGCCCCGGAGCACCCCUGGGGCCGGCGCCUCUGACUGCCCCCCAUUUCAGGGCUCGGAUUUGUCUUGCGUGCCCCCAAGUUUCACCUCCCUUAAAAACGACUCGCUGACGUCAAAAUACGGAAGUGUCCCAGCUCGCUAUGACUGAACAGUGGCUGACUUUCUCAGUUUGAUGCUAUAAUUAGAAAAUAAAUCAAUUGGAAUAGAAA